AAACUCGAUCAAUAGAUCUAAGUUGACAAUGCCUCAUCGUACGGGUAGUAAGCCUAUUCGAGAGAUCAUGUAUGAAUUGGUGAGUAAAUAUUGCAAUUUUUACUGACAAACUUCAUCUUUGUUAAAAAUAUUCUGUGGCUUAUUUAUUUAAAUAUGAAGGGAGACAAAGAUGGAAACCCCCCAGAUAUGGCAACUAUCUUUUUUCAGACUCGUAAGAAGGACGAUAAGCUUGUCGAACCUAAAACCAAUGAAAAAUAUGCAAGUUUAUUGUCAAAUUAUAUUUAUGUGUUGCAUUAUUUCCAAUAGUCUUGUAAUUUAUAGGCUAAAAUCCAAGAAUUGAUGCAAUCUGAAUCGUCUCUUACAAGCAUUGAGGUCAUAAAAAGGUCCUUCGGACCUUAACGCAAGAGUCAUGUAGUUGGAUUUGGUGGUAGAAUUACUGCUAAGGAAUUAAAAGGUGGUAACUCCUUCAAGGCUUCAUUGAUGGAAAAGCCGAGUGCCACUGAAAGAGAAAAUGAGUCACUAAAAGGACGCGUAGUAGGGCUAGAGAGUAAAUGCGAAGUUUAACCAGACUUCAUCGUCAUCUUCAAGUGAACAAUAGGUUGAAGCAUUUAACAGGUUAGUAGAUUAAAAAUCCUAUUAAUCACCUUUCAAAAAACACUUUAUCUAAAACUUAAAAACAAUAUAAUUUUACAUUAAUCGCCUCUUCUUGUACUUUUCCUUGCCUAAAAAAAAGAUAGACCUCAAACCAAAAAAAAAAACUUGGUGGAGGGGCAUUUAAUACUGAGUUUAUUUUAAUCCUAUUGUUGUAUGUCUUACUUGGAACCUUCUGUUUGCAUCAAAUUAUAUGUGAUACAAAAACAAAUUGCAAUCACAAAAUAAAUAUGAAGAAACAUAAUUUUAUUGAUAAAAUGAUGCGGGUACAAUCAUGUUUCUCCCUUGAUUCUUCUCUCCUGAUAAUCUUCGUGAUUCGAGGGCUGAAGCAGCGUAUUUCCCGAAUGUAAGGAUGACGCAGAGCUCCUAGAUGUAUCCGGUUUCUUGAACUAUUUCAUUGUCAAGACGUAUCCGGCCAUAUUUAGGUCUCUUUGUAAGUAUCACGUGAGUUUAUGGGAUUUUUUUGAGACCCCUCUUUUGGAGAAUAUGUAUCCCUUGUGAGUUAGGGUUCAAGGUAGAGUACCCUCCAAGAAACCCAGAUAGACUCCUAAUAGACUCCUAGGAUUUCUAGAGUUCUGUAGUAUCUUUAAUUUAGGAUUUGGCUUGAUCCCUUAAAAUUUUGAUGUCUACAAAUGCCCCCUACUUCAAGGUUUGUCAGGGUGUAGGCUUGCCGAACUUUAAGACGAGACUUGAAGUACUCGACAGUCGCAACAAAUCGUUUUGAAACUUGGACUUUUUUUAUUUAUAGGAGGAAGAGAUGAAGGGCAGAACUGGUCUCACUGAGCGUGCCAAUUUGUUUGCAUCAAAUUAUAUAUGAUAAAGAAAUAAGUUGAAAUCACAAAAUAAAUAUGAAGAAACAUAAUUUUAUUGAUAAAAUGAUGAUGGUACAAUCAUGUUUCUCCCUUGAUUCUUCUCUCCUGAUAAUCAUCGUGAUUCGAGGGCUGAAGCAGCGUAUUUCCCAAAUGUAAGGAUGACGCAGAGCUCCUAGAUAUAUUCGGUUUCUUGAACUAUUUCAUUGUCAAAACGUAUCCGGUCAUAUUUUGGUCUCUUUGUGAGUUUCCCGUGAGUUUAUGGGAUUUUUUUGAGACCCCUCUUUAGGAGAAUAUGUAUCCCUUCAUAUAGGUGUGAGUUAGGGUUCAAGGUAUAGUAGCCUCCAAGAAACCCAAAUAGACUCCUAAUAGACUCUUAGGAUUUCUAAAGUUCUGUAGUAUCUUUAAUUUAGGAUUUGGCUUGAUCCCUUAAAAUUUCAAUAUCUACACCUUCCUCAAUAGAGGUUCUUGAUAUUGACCUAUAGAUAUAGAGGAAGAUGAUUUCUGAUAAUAUUGUCUAUGAUUCACCCUUAGUUUCUUUUGUCAAGAACCAAUAUAUUCACACCGAAUAGUUUAUAAAUGUACUUGAGAGUUGAGAAGCAGUACCGAUUAGAAUGAUGAGAAUAUUCUACUACUCUUAUGCUGAUAUUUUUUGCACUAUGUAAAAAUAUUUUUACAAAUCCUGCCAACUUAUUUAACUACAACCCCAAAUGGAUAAGCUGCCAACAGUUUAAUCCCAUGUGACUCCCAAUUGUCAAGCAUUUGAUUUCUUCUGAACUAUUUUUGAGAAUUUUAAUAUUCUAUUUAUGCAUAAGUAAAAGAAGAUAAGUCUAUCGUUAUCUGUUUGAAACAAAAAAGUUUUUGAAAAAUAAAACUACAAGUGCAAUAAAAAUGAGCUUUAUGUCUCAAUACCAUAUAUAUUUUAAUGAUGUUUCAUCUCCUUCCUUCAAUUGCCUGGCAUGAAAUAGAAUUAGCAAAUAACACUAGUAUUUCAAUUUUCAACAGCUUUAAUGGUGACUUUAUUCUUAACGAAUGUAACGUCUGGUUUUUAAUAAUAGUUGAAGGUGACUUCCCCCAAGUUAGCUAUUUCAUAUUACCAGUGCUAGCUCAUAUUAUAUAGAAGAAGGAAUAGAAUCAGUUGAAUUACUUAGAGUAAAAUGAUUUUACGCUACAGCUUCUUUCAUAGAAUGAUACCAAACAGCAUUCUUUGAAACCAAAUAUCAUACAGAUAGUUUUGGGUUGAUAUUUUUGGACUCCAGGUAAUGCGAAGAGCUUAUAAUUAUCAAAAAUGAACUCUCUUUCAUAUAAGUAAUUGGAAAGUUAAUCCAUUAUACUGUGUGCUUCUACACAUCUGGCUUGUGCUAGAAGUUGCAUAUCGAUGUGUGCUAGAUGCCAUUAAUAUUAUACUCGAUAAUGAAACUGUUACAAUGCUCAUCUGAAUUUUUUUCCAUUACAUUAAGGUUUAUGAAUUUAAAUAAAAAUAUGGUCAUCGAGACGAGUAAAUUUAUAAGCAAGAAUGAAGUUCCAUACUCAAUAUCACCUAGAGUUGUCAUAAUCUAACUCAAUUAACAGAGAAUUGAUGAAAUAAUAUACCUCAAAGAAGAACCAAAAGGUGAGUUGUAAAGGGAAGUUUGGUAUAUGAACAAUCAUUGGUUCUUCAUGGAGACUUGAUUUGAAGCCAUUAUCGACUCUUUUUCAAAAGCUUUUAUAUGCAUUUUGUAUCUCAAUCGCUUUUUGGCCUUAUGUGUAGAAUCGCAUGAAGCUCUAUAUAGAAUGUGUUUGCCAGAAUAAGACAAUUUGCUAUGCAGGUUUUAGUAUAAUUAGGAUGUGUGAUUUGGAACUUCACGAGUCUUUUGAUCACUGUCCGUGAACAUAGGAAAUAUAAUGCGACGUUUUUUUGCUAUAAUAUUGCCUAUUGUUAUGUCAACUGAUAAUUGUAUUAUUUCACUAGGACGAUCAAUGUAGUCUUUGAUGAAUCUAAUCUUCUUCUUUAAUUGUUUAUUCUUUGUUACAAACUGACAUAAACUUUUUACUUCAACAUAUCAAAAACUUGAAAGUCUGAAGAACCUAUUGUUGAAGAAAGUGCACAUCAAGCUGAAGAACAAGAGAAUUUUGUUAUGUUAUGGAUGGUUUGAAGGCACUGUCUUAUGUAUAUAUGCUGCAAUUUUAUUUUUUCUCUUUUUAGGAAUUGUUAAAAAUGAUGUUAUACUAUUUGAAUUGAUUUCUGGUAAUGUGGUGAUGUUACACUUGUGAACACCUAAUUA
rnacentral:lncRNA from 1 species